GAUGUGUUUGAGCCAUUGAGCGAUGGGCAGGAAAAACUUGACUUUUUCUCCUGCCAUGGGGGGGCACUCUUUUAGAGAGAAAAAAUUCCUUCACAAAUGUGUUGAUGGCUGGACAUUGCAUCAUCCUAGAAAACUUGGAAGCCAGUGAGGACAAAAAUGAAAAGUUAUAAGACUUUAAAGAAUGUGGAUUUUUGGGUUAUCUUUGGCGCCCCCAAGAAUGUAAACCGUGGGGUGCAGCGUCAUGAUUUGUACAAAUUUUAAUGGCCAUGGGGUGUAGAUUGGCCUGAGCAAAUUUGGUGUCAGUGGGACGAAAGCCUUAGGAGGAGUAAGCCACAUUCCAAUGUGUGCGAAUCGACCAAAAAUGCGUAAUAGCCCUUUAACCGUACAUUUUACAGAUACGUGCGCAUUGACUUUUUCGUAGAUCUUAUUGAGAUACACGUGAUUGUCAAAUUUUGUGUCAAUAUGACAAAGCGUACAGGCGUGACACUCAACAAUGUGUAUUUUCACCUAAUGGGACAAGAAAAAAUGGACUUUUUUCUCCUGCCAUGGGGGGGCGCUCUUUUGGGGAGUAAAAAUUCCUUCACAAAUGUGUUGAUGGCUGGACAUUGCAUCAUCCUAGAGAACUUGGAGGCCAGUGAGGACAAAAAUAAAAAGUUAUAAGACUUUUAAGAAUGUGGAUUUUUGGGUUAUAUUUGGCGCCCCCUAGAACGUAAACCGUGGGGUGCAGCGUCAUGAUUUGUACAACUUUUAAUGGCCAUGGGGUGUAGAUUGGCCUGAGCAAAUGUGGUGCCGGUGGAACGAAAGCCUUCGGAGGAGUUAGCGAAAUUCCAAUGUGUGCGGAUCGGCAAAAAAUGCGAAAUAGCCCUUUAACCGUACAUUUGACAGAUACGCCCGCGCUGACUUUUUUGUAGAUCUUAUUGAGAUACACGUGUGUGUCAAAUUUUGUGUCAUUUUGACAAAGCGUACAGGCAUGACACUCAAUCAUGUGAAUUUUUCACCUUAGGGGGCGCUAUGGAGCCAUUUUGCUUUUGAUUGUUUGGGCGACUUCAGAAUAUCGAAUUUUUCACCAGGCCCGGUCGUCCUGCCAAAUUUCCUGAGUUUUCGCCAGUGGGAAGUGGGCCAUUUUCCUGUUCAAAGGGGCAGAAAAAUAAUAAUAACUAGGGCCCCGGUGGGGCACUGUCGGGCCCGAGCCGCGUUGCGCCGCCCCCAGCGCGACCGCCUCCCCCUCCCGAUCGCGUCACACUCAAGGUCCAAAGAUGGUGUGCGCACUUGUCUGUGGUCAUUUCCCAUUAUAAUGAAUGGGAGGCGCAGUUUCUACCAAAACACUCGCUGCAGACAAACUACAUGUCCUAUUUGAAAAAAGUCUGGACCAUGAGUGAGGGCACAAACACAGCUAGGAUAUAUCCAAACGGCAAGUUG